rnacentral:snRNA from 1 species
GGAUGUGAGGGUGAUCUGGCUGCAACAUCUGUCACCCCAUUGAUCUCCAGGGUUGAUUCGGCUGAUCUGGCUGGUGAGGUGGAUGUCCCCUUCCUCUCUCACCUCUCCAUGUGCUUCCCUCAGGAAGCUGAGUGCUAGGUGGAAGAGGAUGGCCUUCCCCUGAAUAGAGACGGACUGGUCUUCAGUGGAGGGUAUAGGAGUAACGGAGCUCCCUUGCUAGAACUCCGAAACAAGCUCUCAACUUGCAUACCUGAAGGCCCAGAGUUGAAUGUUGGCUCUGGUCUCUGCCUCUCAAAAGUUAAUAAGUAAAUCUGA